rnacentral:rRNA from 1 species
AGUGAACGCUGGCGGUAGGCCUAACACAUGCAAGUCGAACGGCAGCACAGUAAGAGCUUGCUCUUACGGGUGGCGAGUGGCGGACGGGUGAGGAAUACAUCGGAAUCUACUUUUUCGUGGGGGAUAACGUAGGGAAACUUACGCUAAUACCGCAUACGACCUACGGGUGAAAGCAGGGGAUCUUCGGACCUUGCGCGAUUGAAUGAGCCGAUGUCGGAUUAGCUAGUUGGCGGGGUAAAGGCCCACCAAGGCGACGAUCCGUAGCUGGUCUGAGAGGAUGGUCAGCCACACUGGAACUGAGACACGGUCCAGACUCCUACGGGAGGCAGCAGUGGGGAAUAUUGGACAAUGGGCGCAAGCCUGAUCCAGCCAUACCGCGUGUGUGAAGAAGGCCUUCGGGUUGUAAAGCCCUUUUGUUGGGAAAGAAAAGCAGCAGGUUAAUACCCCGCUGUUCUGACGGUACCCAAAGAAUAAGCACCGGCUAACUUCGUG